CCAACUUCCAUCUUGAUCCUGUGGUCCAGGCAGGGAACUAUAGAUGCUAUGGCUCUUUCAGGAACUCUUCCCAAUUGUGGUCAACCCCAAGUGACCCCUUGUACCUUCCUGUCACUGAUAAUCAUGGGCUCCUGUAUAUUCUGAUUAGACUGUCAUUCUACAUGAUGGUUUUCGUGCUCAUUUUCCUCAUCCAUUCUUGGUGCCAUGCAAAAAGAAAUGUACGUCAAGAAGAAGGCAGUGAGUGUCAUCUGAGUAGCAUGAGAAACUGAACCUGGAGGAAUACAGGACCCUGAAGGAAAAUAAAUGCAGAAUGUGACAUGCACAGAAUUUGAUCAGUGGAUCUUCAAACAGCAAUUUAUCAUGACCAGUUCCUCACAGCCCAAGGAAGCCUCCACAUGUAUCAGGGUGUUCAUGGGAGUUUUGAAAUUACAAGCUGAGAUCAAAGAUUGUUGGUACCCUAUGAGUUCUCAAAGAAAGAUAUCAGGAAUUCUUCUGUAAAGACCACAGCCCUUUUGGAAGCAAAAUAUGAAUAGACACAGUGAAACAAUUGCUGAAAUCAAAGGAUAGAAUUAUCUAACUUUGGUGCCAUCUGUCAUUGUUCUGAAAUGGAUCUGAAUGUGGAUUUCCUAUAUUUAAAUGCUAUGGUUCUUGCUUUUCCUUUGGAGAGAAAUCAAACUAUAAAGUGAAAUUAGACUUGAAAUGUUAAAGCCUGCUAAGGGUUCAUUUUUGUAAUUGCCUAGUCUUGAACAGCUUUAACAAAACUUCUAUGCAUGUUUCUGUAAAUUAAAGUUCGCUUUGUGCCAGAUGACCUUCUGUUUGCCUGAAGAUAGAGUGUAAUGUUAGGUACUCUGCCUUUAAAAUCCCGAUUGAGGUAUCUUGGGGCUGCCUUUGAGAGCCCCCAGUCUCAAGUAUAUAUCUGGUGUCAGUAUGUGAAUAAAUGCCUUUGCUUUCUUAAAAUUUA